rnacentral:lncRNA from 1 species
UUUGAGCAUUAACCAAUGAAUGAGCGUACCUGGAGAUGAAGACUGGAGAGAGCAACAUUGGAGUGAAGGAAGGGAGCGACGAAGAGAGAGACGUGAGCUAAAGCUGUGACUAGGGGAGAAUUCGAAGGAAACAACCGGACACAAGCGGCGGUUCACCGGAGAUAACCGGUAAUUGGCAGGAGAAAGUCGAUUGGGAGCAUGUAGGGCUUGCAUUAUUAGUUUUUUUCUCUCUAAUUAUAACGGCCUGGUGCAUUCAACCUUCCGAGGGACUCAGAAGAAGGAACGGAAGCCAAUGCUGAAAAUGUGAAAUGCAGCUUAUUACACUUCACCGUCUGCGAAUGCUGCUCGGAGCAAAUAAGGACAGGAAGGACAGCGGUGAGUGCACCAGACUCCAGAGGAGAUUUUGGGGGAUAGUACAAAUAAGAGGAAGAGAGUUUAGGAAUCUGGUUGAGAGUUGAGGGUUGAGACGGUGCGUCUCGUCUCGAAGUUGUGUCGAAUUCUUUUACAGCGUCAGCGAGCACGUACUCCUAAUAUGCACCGCUUCCAAGCCAUUAGCCACUCUAUUUAUAGUCACACGCCUCUGCCCAUUUACUCCAGAAGGCCUGUUUAACUGGGGCGAAACUUUCACACCAAAAAUGUGAAGAAUUAAUUUUUAGGGUUAAUUACAAUUUGCUUCCUUAAACUUGACCCUUUAUAACAUUUUGCCCCCAUAAACUUUAAAUAUAUAUACUUUGCCCCAUUCAUUGACUAGUCAAAUAUUAAUGAUGAAUUCUCCCCCCAAAAUUUUAACAAAAUGGCAUUAAUGCCCUUACAUAAUAGUUCUACAAUAAUGCUAUACUUUUAAUCAAAAUAUAAAACAUUUUGUUAGAAAAAACACAAAGUCAUAUGAUUUAAAAAAUUUAGAAAUAAAAGAUGGUAUAAUACCAAAGAAUUGAAAAUUUUUUUAUGGAGAAAAAAAGAAUUUAAAAAAUCCUAAAACAUCAGCACAAGUUUUCCAUUACUUAUCUUUAUUCCUUUAAAUUGUAAACAGAUUAGUUUUGAUAAUUUUCAUUUACUUUGCAGCUGUCACAAGAUUUUCACGAGUCAAUAAAAUGUUAUUUGGUAAUUUUAUAUCACAUUCAUACGUUGCUUUGUAUUUUAUUUGCAUUCUACAUUCUACAUUUUUAAAAAAAAAAUUAAGUUCUCUAAUACAUUUUUAUUUUUAAUUAUGUUUUUUUUCUCAUAUAAAACACAUAAAAAAGUGCUACAAUAAAAAAAAUAAGCAAAUAAUUUCAUUCCAAAUGCACUAAUUAAUUUUAUUUCAUUUAAAAUAAGUAUUGCUACCGACAUUGAGAUAAAUACAUUGAGUUGGUUAAAUUCUUUUUUGCAAAUUAUCUAAUUCAUUUUAAGGCUAAAAGAUCGAAAUGCCUAAUGUAAUUGUAUUUAGAUGCAUUUAGCAAUUAUAAAAAAAAAAGGUGUUUAUUAUGUUAUGAGUGUUUAAGAAUUAGCCAAGGAUGUUUUUGUCAUGAAAAAUAUAACUUCAUCUUAACUCCGUCAAAAAGUUGAUUAUAAAGGGUAAAGUAUAUAUAUUUGGAAUUAGAGGGGCAAAGUGUUACAAAUACCCAAGUUCAAGGGAGCAAAAUGUAAUUAACCCUAAUUUUUAUACAUUCAUUGUGUAUAGACUUUUUAAUUAGGGCACAACUUCACGCGAAAAAUAUAAAGAAUUGAUCUUUUAUAUAAUGAUAAUGUAUAUACUUUCAGCAUGAUAUAUUACACAUGAUCUAGAUUUGAAUUUAAAAUCCAAUCCUAUAUAUAGAUUACUCAAAUGUAUGCCUUCUUUUAGCACAACCAUGACGACUUGUAAUCCAUAUACAAAACUUGAUUUAACAACCGUGGAGACAGUUUUCUCUAGACAAAACCAUGAAACGAACAACUAUUAGUAUAAUUUAGGUAAAUGAACUAGUCAUUAAGCUAUAAACCAUCAAUUUAUGUUAAGUUUUAUAUGCCUACUUAUCUUACGAUGUCGUCAUUAGGUAACUGUAUCCUUCCUUCAUCAAAUGAUAAUUGAUCAUUUUUAUGAAGGCAUUCCAGAAAUGUUAACAGAACUAAUUUACAGAUUUUUUACCUAAUAUGGGUCCAAAAAUGAUAAACAAACAAAUGAUGUUUAGUUGAGUUUUAUAUGCCGACUUAUUUUUCGAUGCCAUCAUUAGGUAACUACCUUUCCUUCAUCAAAUAAUAAUUGAUCAUGUAUUGGAAGGUUUUCCAGAAAUGUCAACAAAAUGUAAUUUAUAAAUUUUUUCCCUAAGAUGGGACCAAAACAGAUAAACAAAAAAUAAAACAAAAUGGAGAAAUUUUAUUACAAUCUAAAUCAAUUAUUAGUUUGGCAUAAUUUUAUUUGAAGCAUUUUCAUUGGUUAAAAACUAGUAACUACUAGGUUUGAUUGUAAUAAAGAUUUUUUUCAAACAAAAACGUAGGUUUGACACGCAAAGAAUACCAGUUAUUUUUACGAAAUUAAUGAAAUGAUUAGUAUGAAUAUCCAUUCGUCUCCCCAAAAGAUACAUUGAAACGUUCAUCUUUAAAGGUUCAUUGGAAUAGCAUCUUCUUAUAAGUUUGUUUGUUGGUUCAUUAUGGAGCUAAAUUCAUGUAUUUGAAAUAUAUAGUAAAUUCAUGCACUUAUAUAUUCAUGCUAGUACAUAUACCUUUGAUCUUGUAUCAUUUAUAAAUAGAGGUAUAUAAGACUCAUUUCUAAUAUUUGAAUAAAAAAACAUUCUCACUAUUUCCUUUUCUCCGUUCUACAAUCUUCAUUUUCUACUUGUAAGGAAUUUAUUUUAUUAAUUUCACAAUAAUUUAUUUAAUAUUAAUGAAUUCUCAAAAUUCAUACGUCUCGUCUCUCAACCAACACUAAACGUCUAAAAAUACAUUGGGCACAAAGUAAGGAUAUAGUACUAACUUUUGGUGCUCCACUAACUGUACCAACAGGAAGUGCAGCACGCAGUGCAUCCCAGCAAGUAAGAUGAUCAAGCAACUCCCCUGUGACCUGUAAUAAUGUCCCAAUGGUUUUAAACAAAAUGGUUACUCAAAUAAAGCCUUCUUCAACUCUCAUGAGUUUAUGAAGGUGUUAUGAGGCCAAGACAUUUAAAGCUACUGAAAUGAAACAACUUCUACCCGCAGGAAAACCGGCAACUCUCUAGUAUGAAAACCAAACUAUAUUGUCCAUACUAUGUAAUUACUGCAACAGGGAUGAACAAUUUUAUUUGAAAAACUGAUAGUCAACAAGGCUUUAUGAUGAUAUUCUCACCGUGGAGCUUAUGUGCAUCACAUGGGAGUACCGCUCAACAGUCAUAAGUUUUUCAACAUUUACAGAACCUGGCUUCGAGACCUACAUUUGACAAAUCUUAUAAUGUUACUUAUGACAGUGUAGAGAAAGCAUAGAAAAAUAUGGAAGAUCCAACAUACGUUUUCUGAAAAGUCUGCAAUAGAUACCAUAUGUUUAGGGCAGGGAGCAGAUCAUAUUUACAAACUCCCAAAUAUAAACAUUAAUAACAAAAAUGCAAGAAAAUUUUUUACAAGAGAGUAAAGUAAGUCAGUAAAACCUUUCCCACAUCAUUACGGCCCAAAUCGACCAGCAUUAUAUGUUCUGCACAUUGCUUUUUAUCUUUUAAAAGCUGCAGCUCCUGCAUCUCAUCUUCAUGAGGUGUCUUCCCUCUUCUUGUAGUUCCAGCCAAUGGUCGAUUAACAACCCUUUUCUGUCAAUAACAUUGAUACAUCCACAUUAAUUCUGUAUCAAGAGCUGUAUACUCAAGGCCAAAGUUUAAUGAUUUUCAGAAUUUAAUCUGUAAAUAACCUUCUUGACACGAGUAAGAAUUUCUGGGCUUGAAGCAACAUGAAUACUUCCUCUAGCCUGAUCAAAUAAUGAAGACACCAUAGUUGGAAAACUUACUUCAGACAAUUAAGAGAAUGGAUGUUCUUUGUAUUAAUAGAAGUACUAACCUGCAAGUAAGCCAUGUAGGGACUUGGAUUUAUUACUCUCAGUGCUCUGUAGACUUCAAAUGGAUCAGCAAAUGUUCUCUUCUCAAAGCGCUGACUUAAAACAAUCUGAAAAAUAUCUCCAGCAAGGAUAUGCUCCUUUGCCUGUAUGACAGCCUUCUUGUACUCUUCUCUUGUCAUGUUACUCUUGUUCAGAGAGAAUCCAAAAUUGUUAGUCCACAAUUCAACAGAUCCUGCUGAUAGCCUUGGACUGAAAAUGGAAAUUUAAUAUGUUAUGAUACAGAAGAUGUAAAAUCAAAAUUGAACCAAGAAAAUGUUAUGAUAUAGAAGAUUCAAACAGUAACUUACGGAUCAAUAUUUUGUACUUUUGACAUUAGUCUUUCCAAGCGUUUCAUACCACUAGUGUAAGCCUUCUCUUUUGAUGGAUACUGAUCUAACUGCACCCAGUGGAUAACAUAUGCUUUCUGCAUGAACAAGAAGGAUUCUUAAUAAUCACUCAGGAAGAAUUUCCGAAACAAAUGCAAUUGGGUGAGCCCUGAGAGAGAUCACGGUGACCAUAACUAAUAUAUAAGGGUAAAAGCUAUUUUCCGUCAAUCUAGAUAAGAGGCUAAGACAAGCUGGUUCAUGUUCAAGAACUAUUAAGGGAGGAUAAAAAUAGUGGUUAGUGACCUCCCACGUUCAAUAAAGAUUCCAUGAUAUAACAGCUAUUAAGAUGAAACUCACUAAAGCUUAGAUUGUGCAUUAAUACAUUAGCAUAGAUCUUAUCAAAUUGUCUUUACUACCAUAAAGCUGGCUGAACUCAGCUAACAAAACAAUGUGAACAAUCAAGUUUAGACCUCCUUAUAGGUAAUUGAUUAACUUGUACAUUCCAUUCACUGUCUGGACUCAUUAUACAACACAAAAACUGAAAGAAUUAGACAAACACAGAAAGGCAUGCACAUGCAGAAAGUGACACAAGAAUACCUUCUCUACAUGAUCAAAUACUAUCACAUCAUCAUACAGCCCCAGAUGAAUGUCAGCAAGGCUCCUAUCAUCGCGUGGCGCCUGAGAGAAUGGCAGCUUCUUCUUCUCAAGGUACCUAACAGUGUCAUAAGAAAAAUAACCAACCCAUCCACCUGCACAUGAUGCCCAAAGAACUCGUAAUUAAGUAUACAAGAAAAGUUGUAAACCUAGCAAUACAGUCUCCACUUUUAUUUCUGUUCACCUCUCAAGUAAGAGCCUACUGUACAAUUUUUCACAGAAAAUUCGUUUCAAACAUUGACUUUAUGUCUAAAAUGCAGUAACUCUAUCAAAAGACAUGUCAGGCACAAAAGAAAGCACAUCCAAAACAGGAAUGAAUAGAAAAAAUAGCUACUUCCGAACUAAAUUCAUCUACUCCCAGUAAUGGAAGGUAGUUGGGAAAGUAAGAGAAACAUAAUAAUACCAAAAAGUGUGUGAUUCUUCGAAAUAUAUGGAUGUCCAUGAUUAUUGUCCCUGUAUUAAAUAAGAAUUUUGACGUCUAACAUUCCGAUGCCUCCACCAGUUCAGUCAAGAAGAGUGCCACUGAUGGAGAAGAAACAGCAAGUUUCUGGGACACACUCAAAUUACAUCUUCUACUUUCUACAUUUGAAGUCACUAGAUACUAAUUUCGGUAACAGAGAGAACCCAUAAAACCUCUCCAUUACAACGGCCAAAUUCCUGUCUAUCACAAAACAAUCUUCAUCCAUGGCUACAGCCUGCUGGAACACAAUUCUGGGAAGGAAAAGCCCAAAAGUUUAUGUCCAUCACAAAUCUUACCCUAACUCCUUCACGGAAUCCUCAUAAUCUGAUGUGCAAAAACAUUACUUACUGUUCUUACAGAAUAAACAGGAAGUUACAGGAUACAACCUCAAAAAAGGAAAAGUAUUUCACGAGUUUACUCAAUUAUGAAACUUCACGUUUUUAUUCGAACUUCAGAAAAGUUUUUUUUUUUUUUUUGAAUGAUGCACAAUUAAAUUUUGUUUUAAAAGAAAUGGAAAACCUGAGCCGACUUGAAAACAAAAGAAUAGACAGAUAAAUAAGAAUAUUCUAGUUAACGAGUCCAACUAGAAAGGAAAAACGAAAUUACUGGUCCGAGUAAUGUUAAAGUCAUACCACAAAAUGUAUCAGGAAGUUCACUAAUCAACUGAGGCUUCCAACUUUCAGAAAUUUCUCUAGGAAUCGUCAUCGGGUCCUCCACAACAAUCUCCUUCAACUUCCCUCUGUAGUGAUCCAAGAUGGUGACAUCAUUUUCUUUUGCCACGAUUUCCACCGCUGGCUGAGCACCGACCACGCUGUACCGACCCUAACAAUUCCCAUUUUCAACACCAGUUAAACCAAAAAUCUACAAACAUCAUAAAACACAUGCUAUAAUGGAAAAACCAUAUUCUGAAGGGGAACAUAGAGGCUUACAACAUGGGAAGUUCGGAAACCAGGUUCUACGGACUCGAAAAGAAAGCUAGGAGCCUCCCGGUCGUCUUCUUUAACUAAGCAGCGGUAUGCAAGCACGGGAGUCAGAUGAUCCGAGAAAAUACAUUGGUAGAGCGGAAUGACAUUUCCAUGUCUGGAAGCUUCCAUAAAUCUUUUUUUAUCCGUCACUGAAUAAAUUGAGAACACAAAAGAAUAAAUAAAAAAGAUCCACGAUUGAAACAACCAUGUAAUUAAAGCAUAGUUGAAAAAUGAAGGGACAUUUUAGGGAUAACGAUACUAUUUAUGGCAGCGUUUUCACCUGCACGAGUGAAACAAAAAUCAUGAAGUCCAGCACAGAUUAUACAGAAACAAUUUGAGCAUUAACCAAUGAAUGAGCGUACCUGGAGAUGAAGACUGGAGAGAGCAACAUUGGAGUGAAGGAAGGGAGCGACGAAGAGAGAGACGUGAGCUAAAGCUGUGACUAGGGGAGAAUUCGAAGGAAACAACCGGACACAAGCGGCGGUUCACCGGAGAAAACCGGUAAUUGGCAGGAGAAAGUCGAUUGGGAGCAUGUAGGGCUUGCAUUAUUAGUUUUUUUUUCUCUUUAAUUAUAACGGCUUAGUGCAUUCAACCGUCUGAGGGACUCAGAAGAAGGAACGGAAACCAAUGCUGAAAAUGUGAAAUGCAGCUUAUUACACUUCACCGUCUGCGAAUGCAACUCAGAGCAAAUAAGGACAGGAAGGACAGCGGUGAGGGCACCAGACUCCAGAGGAGAUUUUGGGGGAUAGUACAACUAAGAAGAAGAGAGUUUAGGAAUCUGGUUGAGAGUUGAGAGUUGAGACGGUGCGUCUCGUCUCGAAGUUGUGUCGGAUUUUUUUACAUCGAGCAUGUACUCCUAAUAUGCACCGCUUCCAAGCCAUUAGCCACUCUAUUUAUAGUCACACGCCUCUGCCCAUUUACUCCAGAGGGCCUGUUUCACUGGGGCGAAACUUUCACACCAAAAAUGUGAAGAAUUAAUUUUUAGGAUUAAUUACAAUUUGCUUCCUUAAACUCGACCCUUUAUAACAUUUUGCCCCCAUAAACUUUAAAUAUAUAUACUUUGCCCCAUUCAUUGACUAGUCAAAUAUUAAUGAUGAAUUCUCCAUCCAAAAUUUUAACAAAAUGGCAUUAAUGCCCUUACAUAAUAGUUCUACAAUAAUGCUAUACUUUUAAUCGGAAUAUAAAACAUUUUGUUAGAAAAAACACAAAGUCAUAUGAUUUAAAAAAUUUAGAAAUAAAAGAUGGUUUAAUACCAAAGAAUUGAAAAUUUUUUUAUGGAGAAAAAAAGAAUUUAAAAAAUCCUAAAACAUCAGCACAAGUUUUCCAUUACUUAUCUUUAUUCCUUUAAAUUGUAAACGGAUUAGUUUUGAUAAUUUUCAUUUAAUUUGCAGCUGUCACAAGAUUUUCACGAGUCAAUAAAACGUUAUUUGGUAAUUUUAUAUCACAUUCAUACGUUGCUUUGUAUUUUAUUUGCAUUCUACAUUCUACAUUUUUUUAAAAAAAUUUAAGUUCUCUAAUACAUUUUUAUUUUUAAUUAUGUUUUUUUCUCUCAUAUCAAACACAUAAAAAGUGCUACAAUAAAAAAAUAAGCAAAUAAUUUCAUUCCAAAUGCACUAAUUAAUUUUAUUUCAUUUAAAAUAAGUAUUGCUAUCGACAUUGAGAUAAAUACAUUGAGUUGGUUAAAUUCUUUUUUGCGAAUUAUCUAAUUCAUUUUAAGGCUAAAAGAUCGAAAUGCCUAGUGUAAUUGUAUUUAGAUGCAUUUAGCAACUAUAAAAAAAAUAGGUGUUUAUUAUGUUAUGAGUGUUUAAGAAUUAGCCAAGGAUAUUUUUGUCAUGAAAAAUAUAACUUCAUCUUAACCCCAUCAAAAAGUUGACUAUAAAGGGUAAAGUAUAUAUAUUUGGAAUUUGGAGGGGCAAAGUGUUACAAAUAUCCAAGUUCAAGGGAGCAAAAUGUAAUUAAUCAUAAUUUUUAUACAUUCAUUGUGUAUAGACUUUUUAAUUAGUGCGAAACUUCACGCGAAAAAUAUAAAGAAUUGAUCUUUUAUAUAAUGAUAAUGUAUAUACUUUCAGCAUGAUCUAGAUUUGAAUUUAAAAUCCAAUCCUAUGUAGAUUACUCGAAUAUAUGCCUUCUUUUAGCACAACCAUGACGACUUGUAAUCCAUAUACAAAACUUGAUUUUACAACCGUGGAGACAGUUUUCUCUGGCCUUCAUCUCUAGACAAAACCAUGAAACGAACAACUAUUAAUAUAAUUUAGGUAAAUGAACUAGUCAUUAAGCUAUAAACCUUCAAUUUAUGUUAAUAUGCCCACUUGUCUUACGAUGUCGUCAUUAGGUAACUGUAUCCUUCCUUCAUCAAAUGAUAAUUGAUCAUUUAUUCGAGGGCAUUCCAGAAAUGUUAACAGAUCUAAUUUACAGAUUUUUCACCUAAUAUGAGACCAAAAAUGAUAAACAAACAAAUGAUGUUUAGUUAAGUUUUAUAUGCCGACUUAUUUUUCGAUGCCAUCAUUAGGUAACUAUCUUUCCUUCAUCAAAUAAUAAUUGAUCAUUUAUUGGAAGGUUUUCCAGAAAUGUCAACAAAAUGUAAUUUAUAAAUUUUUUCCCUAAGAUGGGACCAAAACAGAUAAACAAAAAAUAAAACAAAAUGGAGAAAUUUUAUUACAAUCUAAAUCAAUUAUUAGUUUGGCAUAAUUUUAUUUGAAGCAUUUUCAUUGGUUAAAAACUAGUAACUAUUAGGUUUGAUUGUAAUAAAGAUUUUUUUCAGACAAAAACGUAGGUUUGACACGCAAAGAAUACUAGUUCUUUUUACGAAAUUAAUGAAAUGAUUAGUAUGAAAUCCAUUCGUCUCCCCAAAAGAUACAUUGAAACAUUCAUCUUUAAAGGUUCAUUGGAAUAGCAUCUUCUUAUAGUUUGUUUGUUGGUUCAUUAUGGAGCUAAAUUCAUGUAUUUGAAGUAGUAAAUUCAUGUACUUAUAUAUUCAUGCUAGUACACAUACCUUUGAUCUUGUAUCAUUUAUGAAUAGAGGUAUAUAAGACUCAUUUGUAAUAUUUGAAUAAAAAAACAUUCUCACUAUUUCCUUUUCUCCGUUCUACAAUCUUCAUUUUCUACUUGUUUGUAAUUUAUUUUAUUAAUUUCACAAUAGUUUAUUUAAUAUUAAUGAAUUCUCAAAAUUCAUACGUCUCUUUUCUCAACCUACACUAAACGUCUAAAACAAAAAAAGCAGCACAGAACUCGGGUUUAAAAACCCCCGAUUGAAAGACAUUAUGACAUCUAUUAGCAUUCCACACUUUUGUCUUUUUUUCUUUUAUGCUCCUCCGUCCCACUUUGAUAAUUAUGUUUUCCUUUUUCAUCUGUUUCAAAUUAUAAUCCACUUUUCAAUUGAAGAAUGUGGUUAUCUUUUAAUUUCUCUAAAUACCCUUAUUCAAUGUAAGUUGUUAGCACAAUAAAUUAUCUUAUUUAAUAUAGAUUGUUAGUAUUAAAUAUAACGUAUCUCAUUAAUGCAUUUAGAUUUUUCAAAACAUAUUGAUAUAUAAAAAGCCAACUUUAUUUAAUGUAAGAGUAUUUUAGAAAAAUAGCAAUCUAAUUUUUUUUUUUUAAUAAAAUUAAUUAUUUCUUUUAAAACUGUGUGAAAAAAAUUAGAACUAUCAAAAUGUGACAGAAGGAGUACAGUUUACUAUUUGGGUUUGUUUAUCUAUUUGCAUUCAAAAGCGCAUACACGCUUUUACUCUUAACUUUUACCUGCUUUUGGAGUUCGGAGGAUCAGUCGACAUCUGCUCAAAGAAUUCCCACGUGUUCACUCGAAAGAUUGAUGUUCGUGGAUUGACAUGGAAGAGGGCAUUAAUUGUACGGUGCUGAUUGUUAGUCCGCCAUAGCUAUCUUAUUGCUGUGUUAAUAGUGGUAUAUCCGAGAAAUUGUUUUUGAAUAACAACAAUGGGGGAUUUAGGUUUAUUAAUUCAAAAGUCUGAGUUUCUCAGCUUUAGAUAAAAAAGACAGGAAACUCUUUCUCGGGGAGUCUAGGGGAUUUUUACUUCUUAGCAGCGGGGCACCCUAUGGGGUUUCCUAUCCCACAUCGUAAUGGGGGGGUUGGGUUUCUGGGUUAAUAAGUCCCCUGGACGCCUUCAAAAGUUGCCGGCUUUUGAAGGUUGUUUGGGGAUUUAGGUUUAUUAAUUCAAAAGUCUGAGUUUCUCAGCUUUAGAUAAAAAAGAGAAAAAUGCAGUUUUGGUACCGAAACUUUGACGCACGAGCGGUUUUAGUUCCCAAAUUUUGGACGAAAACAAAUUUGGUACCCGAACUUUCAAAUUUUGAGCACAUUAAGUACCCUUGACGAUUUUUUUCCAAAUUAUUACCGGAAAAAGCCAUGUGAUAGUCACAUGUCCGGCCGAAAUGGAAUUAAAAAAGGCCAAAAAUGCAGUUUUGGUACCUAAACUUUGACGCACAAGCGGUUUUAAUCCCCAAAUUUUUGACGAAAACAAAUUUGGUACUCGAACUUUCAAAUUUUGAACACAUUAAAUACCCUUGAUGAUUUUUUCUCAAAUUAUUAUCGAAAAAAGCCAUAUGACAGUCAUGUGUCCGGCCACAAUUGUAUAAAAAAAGGCCCAAAAAAUGUCAAAUGCCAUUAUAAUACUAAGUAUUAAAUUUAAGGACUAAUAGCGUAAUAAAGAAAAAAUUCAAGGACUAAAUAACAACACAUGAGUCAACAAAACCCAAGAACUGAUACAAAUGAGCUCCAAUUCCAGACAAAUUUUGUGACUUGAUUCUUAGAUUAAUGUACUAGAAUUGGAGCUCAUUUGUAUCGGUUCUUGGGUUUUAUUGACUUAUGUGAUGUUAUGUAGCCCUUGGAUUUUUUCUUUAUUACGCUAUUAGUCCUUAAAUUUCAUACUUAGUAUUAUAAUGGCAUUUGACAUUUUUUGGCUUUUUUUAAAUACAAUUAUGGCUUGACACGUGACUGUCAUAUAGAUUUUUUUGGUAACAAUUUGGAAAAAAAUCAUCAAGGGUACUUAAUGUACUCAAAAUUUGAAAGUUCAAGUACCAAAUUUGUUUUUGUCCAAAAUUUGGGGACUAAAACCGCUCAUGCGUCAAAGUUUAGGUACCAAAACUGCAUUUUGACCUUUUUUUUUCCAUUUUCGCCGGACACCUGACAGUCACAUGGAUGUUUCCGGUAACAAUUUGGGAAAAAAUCGUCAAGGGUAUUUAAUGUGCUCAAAAUUUGAAAGUUCGGGUACCAAAUUUGUUUUCGUCCAAAAUUUGGGGACUAAAACUGCUUGUGCGUCAAAGUUUAGGUACCAAAACUGCAUUUUUCUCGAUAAAAAAAAUAACAACAAUGGGCCAUGGGGAAGAAAGGUAUGCUUUUGGGGGUAGUCUAGGAAUUUCAUUAAAAUUGCAGGCUGACAAUCAUUAAAAUUUUAACAGUCAACGUCAACUGACUAACGAGAGGGUGCAUCUGUUAUACUUUUUUUUUUUUUUAAAUUUGAAGGAUUUUUAUGUAGUUUUGCUAAACCUUAGGGAUUAAAUAGUAGCUUGAUUAAAUUUCAAGGAAAGUAAAUGUAAUUAACCCAGAAGAUUAUCAUAGGCUGCAAAAUCAGAUUCUUUUUUAUUUCUUUUAUUAAUACAUAUUUAACUUCAUACUUUUGUUUCAAUAAAGAUAAGAAGAUGAAUGUGAAAUCUCUAUACUUCAGUAUAGAACCUCUUAAAUCUCUAUGAUUAUCUCUAUGGUUUGAUAAAGUGUUGCCUCGAGCGGAUUGGAAACUUACCAAUAUGUAGUAAAUUACGUGACCUAUUAAAAUCAUUAAUUCCAAGAAUCAUGAAGGCUUAUAUAGGAUGGUGCAGCGUGGCUAUUAAGUUGUAAGGAUUUAUUUUAGCAAGUGUCCUCAAAUACCACUCAUUAACGCACACAUUACAUUUGCUUAUUUUUUAAUAAGUUUAAAACCACCGAUGUCGGUCCAAUGGUCAAAACGUGUGUUUAAAAGUCUUCGCCGUUAUUAAGUUCAAGAUUAAAAUAGAAACACACUCUUUAGAAGACUCUUUAUUGUAUUGUCAAGCAAGCAAGCUUCUUUCCUUUUCAGCGAAAAAGAACUAAGACGGGGGGGAUCGAAAUGGGUCACAAUAUGGUCUCCUAGAAUCUUGACGGUCGGCACUUCUCGAAGACUUUUCCGCCGAAGUAAAUACUUUCCCACGUUUGUUCCCUUUAUUUUUUCUUUUUUUUUUGACAUCGACGGCCGGUGUCGAUCGUCCUGAAAAAACGUGACAAUUGAAUCAGUGCAAAGCCUCAAGCUGCGCCGUAAUAUCGUCCGCAACCACUAUUGUUAAAACUGCGUAUUUUUAUAGAAGGCAUCCCAAUCCGAGACCGAGAGUGGUUUUCAAUUUUCACUUUUCAGAACUUGGCUAUCAUCCCCACGAACUUUCAGAAGAAGAAGAAGAAGAACGGGACACGAACUUUCGAUGAGAUCUCUAAGAAAAGAUCCCCAUUUAUCACGUGUUAUUACGUGUAGGUGGUAAGCAAACUUAUUUAACUAAAUUUUAGCUCAUAUCUGUUCAUGAAUAGAUGGAUAUGGAUAUUUUAAAUUUUUGUAUAUAGAUAUUAUUGGGUAACCUAUUUUUUAAAUGGAUAUUAUUUGGUAACUCACCAAAUUCAAUUAAUUCAUUUAGAAUUAUCUUUUCUCAAUCCUCCUCUCAUUACCCACCGAAUUUUUUUUUUUUCAAAUUCUUCAUUUUGUCAUUACUUUUGUUUUAUUAUUAUUAUUAUUUGUUGGUUUUAUCUUAUCAUUUCAUUUUCUCUUAGUUUGUUAACUUGUUAAUUUUUCAGUAUUACCAAUUUAUAACAAGUUUUAACUUUUUUUCCUAUCUUUCCAAAAUAAAAUUUUAAAUUUACACACGAAAAAAAUGCUAAAAGUUCAAAAUUUUUGAAAUAAGUUUUUAUGUUAACUUUUAUAGUACUUAGUUUAGAUUUUUAGAUUUUUAUUGUUCAAUUAUUAAAUAGUAUGUAAUUUUACGACAUAAAGUACGGAUGGAAAAAAAUUAGUAAUUAAGAUGAUUGAACAUUAUAAGUAAAUACUUAAAACUAAUGAUGGGUGCAAUGGGUGGUAUAAAAUUGAUAACUUAGUUUACAAAUAUAAAUUUAAAUGAGUUUAUAAAAAAUUAAAAUAAAUUAGUUACAAAUGGAUAAUUGGGUUACCCAAUUCAUUUUUUGACUUAUUCAUUUAUAUCUAUCUAAUUAAAUGGAUAUAAAUGAGUUGAUUUAUUUAUACCAAUUACCCAUUUUAACCAAUCCAACCCCGUCCAAAUCACUCAUUUGACACCUAUACUAUUAAGACAUAGGAUAACAAAUUAACAAUAAACUAAUCAACAAAGUAGACGAAUUACUUCUUAGAAGAGUCUCAUUAUUUAUUUAUUUACUUUUAGCGUCUAUUUAUUGCUGAUUGAUUGUGCGCCAAAAGAAAGUUCAUGGAGUAAUUAUUGUUAAAUACCUGUUCUCAUUAAUUUUUUCCAAUUGGUUACUGAACAAACUCCAAUUAGUAAUAUUGCUCUCAAAGUUUGUUGUACCAAUGAGAACUAGGAUUCUUAUCAUCAGCAAAUACACCUAUGAAUUCAAGUUUUUUUUAAUGUAUUUUACUGAGAAAGCCUUGAUUGAACAGCAAUUUUUCAAAGAAAAUUUGAUACGUUUUUCGUGAACAUAUUUUUCAAUCAUUCUUUUAUCUCACAUAUAUCAAAUCGUUACAGUAAUUUUUUUUUACAAAAAAAUCUAAAAAAAUGCAAUCCAAACAAGACUAUGCAUGCCCCCGCGGGGUAGCUCGAACGGUCCGCCCCCCUCCUUAUGGUAUGGCGACCUUCCUGACUUGUUCAGGGUUAGAGUCCCGCUGUUAACGUGUUCGGUGUGGAGUGAGGCCUCCUCUCCCGGGCUGCAGGGGAUUAGUUGGACCCCGUAAGGAUUGACCUGGACACCCCUGUGUCGAAAAAAAAAAAAAAAAGACCAUGCAUGAAUUUUCGCCACAAUCCGGUAAAAAGCCGCAGCAUUAUCUACGUGUUGACGCUUCGAACCACUUCAAAGCUUCCGUCAUCUGCUCUGUGCAAAAAUCCUGGUCAUCAUAUAAGCAAAGUUUUAGUUAGUUCCGUUGUUAAACUUUUAUUCUUCUCUGGGGCUACGUGAUAGGACCGGAGCAGCUAAACGAGUUCAACUUCGACCGUACACAUCCGGAUGACGGCGUUUGAGAUCUUUCUGAGGGAUAUUUUUCCCUUAAAGAUAUGGACGCUCUAAUUUGUCCUCGUUUUUUUCAUUGAGUGCCGCCACAAAUAAAAUCGGCAGUAGCUUUUGCGGCAAAAUCGUACUCUCAGUUUUUUCUAAGUAGCGUGAAUAUUAGACAUACUUAAGCAUGAGACGGUGACCCAACUGAUCAAAUUUCUAAUCGUUUUGGAUUUCGAUGACAGUAAGCUAUAGCAGAUUGAAUGUACUUACUGGAUUGCAUAAGUGUAUAGAUUUAAUUUGCCGACUCAUAUUCUUAAUAUAUCAGAACAAGAAUAUUUUGUUUGGAUUACUUUUUUUUUGGUAAAAAUUUUCUUUUUUAUUUCAUAUACAUUAAAUCGCGACAAUAUCUUUUUGUAAAAAAGAUUUUAAAAAAUAGUGAUUCCAACGUGCUCUAAAAAUGCAUGUACUAAUGAUAUUUUUCGUGCUAGCCAUGGUACCAACAUCCAUAUGAAACUCACUUCAAAUUUAUGCGCCGGCCAUCAAUUAACCUGCAUGGCCAGUCUGAUAUAGAUAGAUCUUCCGUAUCUGGCACUUUGAAUUACGUACUUUAGUUUAGUACUUUCAAGCUAAACACCACCAAAAAAUCCUCUACAUAGCCAGGUCGCGCGCGACGCGGGUCGGUCCGAAUUAGUGGGACAAAGCUUCGGAUACCAGGCGGGCAACCAAAAAAAGAAAACCAAAAAAUCAUCUACAUUUUUUUCAUUAUGGGUUUACAUGGUUACAUCGAAUAUAGCAAGCCUAUUACAAUUUACAAGUACUCAUGCUAGCAUCCUUUUGUCAUGGAAUCCCAGAGUCUAGAGAAAGACCAUGAGAAGACGGUGAAGGAAACCACAUUGAAUUUCGCCCUAGAAAACACAUGAUACAUAUAUUCAUCAUGUAUCAUGUGAAAUUGACACCACAGUAACAAAUAUCCAGCAGAUAUCACGCCAAGGUCCCUCGCAAGAAUUUGAUAUCCAAGAAAGUUACGCCAGUACACACUCUAUACUCUGGAGUUUGGUAAUCUUUAUGAACUUUAAACUUGUUGAAGGUUUUUUGCUACAAACUAAGGUCACAAACGAAUCGAAUUGCUUGUGAGUCAAAAUUCGACUUGAGUUCGGUCAAUACUGAGUUUGAGUCCAGUUCGAGGUAAAAAAUAUUUAAUUCGUUAGCUUGCGAGUCAGUUCGAUUAUAUAUAUAUAUAUAUAUUAUUUUAAUAGUAAAAUUACAUAUAGAUUUUUAUUAUUUUAUUAUUUGUUAAGAAAAUUUAUUAUUUUAUUUAUUAUUUUUUAAAAAAUUGAGCUCGAGCUGUUACAUUAAUAAAAUAAUUUUUUUUUUAAAUUUGAGCUCGAGCUAUUACUUUGAGAACUCAACAAAUUCAAGUUUAAAUUCGAGUUUGAUAAAACUAAAUCGAGACUCGAUUCGAUUAGAUCAAAAUUCAAUUUGAUUCAACUCAUUUGCAACCCUACCACAAAACGAUGAUGACGUCUAGACGGAAAUGCUUAAAAGUACUUCUUUCCUUAGAUCGGUUACGCUAGCCAUCCAUUUCCAUCUUGUUAACUUUUUCCUCUUAUAGUCAAAAAAGAAAAAAUAGAAAAGAUCCCUCAUUGUAUCAUGUUUGAUACACGUUCUGCCUUUUUUUUUUUUUAAAAAAAAGGACUUAUCAAUAGGUAGGUAUUAAAGGGCAAAAAUAAAAAAGGAAAAAAACUCUGCUGCGCAAAGCAUCUAUCAUGAUGGCUAGCGUAACAUACUACAUACAUAGGCAAACGCACAGCCAAGAGCUAUCGUCUCAUUCAACUUGAACAGUCUUCACCCACCAUUCCCAGCUGGUUCUGCCCAACUAAUCAAACAUUAAAUGAGAAAUUCAGUUAGCAGUUACAUCUUCUUUUGUUAUACAGAAUUAUUUCACCUGUAAAUGAGGCGAAAGAGAUAAAAGUACUAAUUCUCUCCGCUCUCGAUCGCCUGGCGGCGGUGGGUGGGGGAGCACGGGAUAUGCGCAUUCAUGAUUCAUUACAAGGCUUCGGACUUAAAAAGACGGAUAUCAGUCGAAAAACGGUUGAGCUCUAAAUCAGUUUGGAUAAUGUAACGGCGUGGACCAACAUCGGAACCAAUUCGUCCUGCCCACCUACAGACUGUAAAGUGAAGAAGCUUUGAAACCGAGUCUUAAAUGAAUGGUUUCGUGUUUUUAACUACUUUGAUCUAUUGCAGAAAAUCAUACUACUGCUAUAUAGCAUCUGAAGAACGUGUCUUUGUAUUCUGCAACACAAACAAAUUACUACUAAAAUAAAAUGCUGAUAUUGUUCUAGUGUUUCGUAGGUUGAUGUGAUUAUUUUUAAAAAAUUUCUGUUGGAAAAAAAAAAAAAGAAAUGUGACAAUUGGCCGGAGCUCAACUAUUGAGCCCAACAGUCUACGGACAUAGUUGUAGUGUUCUGCCGCUUGGAACAUGUGGGCGUCAUUCUCAUUCUGGCAGACGAAAAUGAAGUAACAGAGAUUCAGAUAAAGCCAAUCCUCCCCCCCCCCCCCCGCCCCGCAAAACAAAAAAAACCAAAAAAUAAAAAAAUAAAACUAAAAACUUAAAAAAGAGAUCGUCUGGAUUAUCCCUAUAUCAGCAAUUGACAAAUUUAGCUACAAUUAAUAAUAAAUAAAUAAAAGACUUUUAGUUGAUAGACUAGAUCAGAUGGAUAGACUAGUUGCAUGUUUUGUUUGUCCCAUUCCCAAUUUCUCGGUUGAAUGAAUGUAGUUAGGAAGAAGAUUGCAUGCUUCACCAAUUGUGUACAAAGACCUGGCGAGCAAACAACUCUGCUCUAUAUUUCAAUAGAGAAAUGAUCAAAUCAAGCUUUCUAGUUAAUGAGUUUCUGUAGCAGCUAUGCUUCCCAUAAGUGACUAAUUGGCUGCAUAGAUGAACAAGGCACCGUAGCAAGGACCAUGCUACGAUGCUCAGUGAGAAGACCGUUGCAUACUAAGAAGUAAACCGACACUUGAAAGCAAUGCUUAGUUUUGUGAUCAUUUCCAAGUUCCACAAGUGAAUAAGAUGAAGGCUGCAACAAGUAAGACAUAGCCUGAGAUCCUCAUUUCAUAUCAUUCAUUCAUCGUGGCAAAUAAGAUAUAACAUAAAUCAGAAUGGAAAAAGCAGCACGGCUUCAACCGUCUUGAAUAUGUACACCAGAUUUCCCCCUUAUCUGAUUGCAUUGUGGAACAAUUAUUUGGAACAACUCAUCCCCUUCCAGGAAUAGGAAUUGUUCCAUCUAUGAGACCAUAAUGUACAUCACUUUGUCUGAAUGAUACUAGUUUAUAAAAUGGUGAUUCUCACGAGCCUCAAUGGGCUAUUGAACAAAAUUUCCUACUCUUUUAACUCUUUAACUAAUACAACUCUAGAAAGUAGAAAUGGCUUCACUAGUGAAAGGGAAGGGGUAUGGUAAGUAAACCAACAGGCCUAAAAGCAAAACAACAAUUCCAAGGGUGAUAUAAGUGUUGUCUGGAUCAGUAAUUUCUUCAGACAAAGGAGCUAUUGGCCCUCUCUGCAAGAUGAAUAUCAGAACCACCCAGUAAAAUGCCACAUCAUUAAAGAGUGAGGCUAUUCCAAGGAGCCCAAUAGCCGCUGCACUCAAGCGAGCUGAAGCCUGCAAAAUAAUUAAGAUUCAUUAAUUUAACAUUCAUAUGGUGUUAUAUCUUUAUGCCAGUAUCUACUGCUUUCAAAAAACGACUAGGUUACAAGUCCAAUAAAACUAGGUGACAUAGCAUGUCAAUAGCUCUUCGUGCUUAAGAUCACUUUGUUUCCCUUAUAUUUCUCCUCAUCAAUGCAGCAUGGCUAGAGGAAUGCAGUUCUAGUCACAUACCUUCCUUCCCCACAUGGCAAAAGAAAUUCGGCCACCAUCUAAUUCUCCGGCGGGAAUGCUGUUGAUGGCAUUAAUUAGUAGUCCAGCCCAUGCCCAGAGUACAAGUGGGUUUACAGAUAUUGCGGUGCCUUCCUUGAGGACAUCUCCAAGAAGUAGCUUAGCUGUAAAUGAACAAAAAGAAAGAAGAGGUUUCAGGCCUUCACAGUUGCAAAUUUAUUACAGGACACAGCUUGACACUUGUAUCGGAGCUUCUGCAGUAAUUAAACCUAAUUGCGUGCAAUUAUAGAUGUCGAUAGCAAAAAGAAUGAACACAUAAAAAGUCAACAGGAAAAAAGCAAAGAAAUUAUUGUGGCUCGGGUAUCCAAGAAAGCUCACUCUUGUGCCUGAAACAUAUGCUGUAAGGCCUCAAAAAAUCUUUGUCAGAAAAUUGCUUACCAAUGCCCCCAGCUAGAAGUGAAUCGUGGAAGACACUAGCAUCGACAACAACACCAAGACCAUCACUUGGUGGCAAGAUAAAACCUAAAAGCAGGAGAAGAACCCCCAAGGAGAACCCAGCUAAUGGUCCAGCUGCUGCAAAUUUCAAGAGAUCCUCCCGCUUCUUCACAAUACUCAAAAUCCUAGUUAUAGCACCAAAAGAGCCUAUCUGCCACCAAUGAAGCUCUUUCAUUAGACUUGCUCUGGCUUCAAUGAACAAAUAAGUGCAGACGGAGGAAACAAGAGGGACAGGAACUCAGAUAAGACUGCAACUUAGAUUUUCUGGACUCUCCUUGACAAACAAACAAAUCAAAAAACAAUGAAGAAGCAAUGAGUUUGUUUGGACAAGCCAAAUUUGGUUUGUUUAAUUUGUUUUCACAAAUCCCAAUCACCUUUUUAUCUUCCCAAUCACCUUUUUAUCUCACAUACAUCACAUCACAAAAAGUGCUACAGUAAAUAUCUCAAAUAAAUCAUCCAAAUAAACUCUUAUCCAAACAAACUCAAUGUAUAUUUGCUUCUAAAGUAGGCAUGAAGAUUGAAGCAGGCCCAGCUAGGCGUUUGUGCUGAUGUAGUGGCUAAGAGCUAUGUUACUUGAACUCCGGUAUGGAUGGAUGUUGGAUUCGGAUAUGUGUCUAAGUGUCUAAUUUGUCAACUAUCUAAAAUUAGGAUACGGGAACACUUCUAAAGACUCAGACAUGGGUAUGUGCGUGUGCAGCAAAAUAUCUAGUAAAUAUAAGAAUUAUACAGUACAGCCAACAUACAAGUCACAGCUCACUCAGGAUUGGAGAAUUCUAAAGUAACCAACAAGUCAUGGCUCAAAAGGGUUCUAGUGCAAUAAGGAUUCCAAUACAACAAGUCUUCUACAUCUAUGAGUUUUCUCAACCAGGUCUCCUCCUCUUCCUUCAACAUCAGACCUCACAUAAGUCAAAGUGUCCAAAAAUUUUUCAAACUGUCAGACACAUAUCCCAAACCAGCACCAGUGUCAUGUCAUGUUGACACAGGUACUUUGGGGUAAAAUAAAGAGUCCAAGUAACAUAGGCUAUAGAUUAGGCCAGGAUUGAACACUGUUUAACUCAGAAACUAUGGACUUUUGCUUCAACCACAAUCCAGAACCACUUGUCAAAUCCUCAAAGUGCUAUUAACUUUAAAACAAGUGUCAUACAGAUGAAGUUGGAUUGCAGGUCUUCAACAAAACAGAAUCUAUUGCAAGGCCAAGCUCUACAACAAUUUGAUCCCACUGAUAUCUAAUUGAGAUCAUCAGCACAUAGAUAAACAGCUCUAAAAUAAGGAAAGCCAAAAAAAGAGCUUAUGCACUAUAUUCAUACCAGAUGAACAAGGCAUGAUACGAAUUAAAUUUACUCCUAGUUAAACCUUCAAUGUCAAAACCUUAGAACAUGCUAAAGAAUGCAUAAAUGACAUCCAGAACUAAACUCAAUGACAGCAAUAUCUAUUGAUUCUGAAUCUUAUGAUAACAGAGAGAGGGGGAGAGAGAGAGAGAGAUGGAAUAUAAGCCACCCUCCAGUAUAAGGCGUAGAGGAAGGGGAUACCUCACCUGCCAACUAGGGAUAAAAUACGGCACUCCUAGCUUGAUUCCACUUUCACUUGCUACUAAAAUGUGGCAGACUUCAUGGGCACCAAGAACAAGUAAUGUUACAAGGGCACCAGGAAGGCCAUCCUUCAACAGUUCGAGAUUGUCAAAAGUCAAUCUGAAGAAUGACAGGAAAAAUCUUGUAAUCACUAAAUCUAAAUUCAGACUCUUGUUACAUGAAUGCCACCCACAAGAGAAAAAGAUGAAAAAAAAAACAGACAAAUGAAAAACAUAACCACGCAAUCAGUAGAAUUAAGGGGAUUCCUUGCCCAAAACUUAAGUCAAACUGUUUGUAGUAAUUUUGCAUAAGGCCAGAUACUCCUAA